CAGUCGCCGCGGUAAUACGUAGGUCCCGAGCGUUGUCCGGAUUUGUUGGGCGUAAAGCGAGCGCAGGCGGUUAGAUAAGUCUGAAGUUAAAGGCAGUGGCUCAACCAUUGUAGGCUUUGGAAACUGUUUAACUUGAGUGCGGAAGGGGAGAGUGGAAUUCCAUGUGUAGCGGUGAAAUGCGUAGAUAUAUGGAGGAACACCGGUGGCGAUAGCGGCUCUCUGGUCUGUAACUGACGCUGAGGCUCGAAAGCGUGGGGAGCGAACAGGAUUAGAUACCCCUGUAGUCCCUGUCUCUUAUACA
rnacentral:rRNA from 1 species